rnacentral:lncRNA from 1 species
GCCAAGCGUGCCAGGAUCUGCUCGACCCAGCGAAGGCGAGCAGAAUCCCAAGCAUUGAAGAAUUUUCUAAGGCAUGCAAAGGCUCACAAAGUCUCAAAGCCUGUUUAUGGCGAGACUAGAAUCCAUGCGUGCCAGGAUCUGCUCGACCGCGCGAAGUUGAGCAGCAUCCCAAGUAUUGAAGAAUUAUCUAAGGCAUGCAAAGCCUCAUCAAGUUUCAAAGCAUGUUUAUGCCGAGACCAGAUGCCAUGCGUGCCAGGAUCUGCUCGACCCUGCGAAGGCGAGCAGAAUCCCAAGCAUUGAAGAAUUUUCUAAGGCAUGCAAAGGCUCAUCAAGUUUCAAAGCCUGUUUAUGGCGAGACCAGAUGCCAAGCGUGCCAGGAUCUGCUCGACCGUGCGAAGGCGAGCAGAAUCCCAAGCAUUGAAGAAUUUCCUAAAGCAUGCAAUGGCUUAUCAAGUCUCAAAGCCUGUUUAUGGCAAGACCAGAUGCCAAGCGUGCCAGGAUCUGCUCGACCGCGCGAAGGCGAGCAGAAUCCCAAGCAUUGAAGAAUUUUCUAAGGCAUGCAAUGGCUCACUAAGUCUCAAAGCCUGUUUAUGGCGAGACCAGAAGCCAAUCGUGCCAGGGACUGCUCGACCGCGCGAAGUUGAGCAGAAUCCCAAGUAUUGAAGAAUUUUCUAAGGCAUGCAAAGGCUCAUCAAGUUUCAAAGCCUGUUUAUGGCGAGACCAGAAGCCAAGAAUGCCAGGAUCUGCUCGACCGCGCGAAGGCGAGCAGGAUCCCAAGUAUUGAAGAAUUUUCUAAGGCAUGCAAAGGCUCAUCAAGUCUCAAAGCCUGUUUAUGGCGAGACCAGAUGCCAAGCGUGCCAGGAUCUGCUCGACCGCGCGAAGGUGAGCAAAAUCCCAAGUAUUGAAGAAUUAUCUAAGACAUGCAAAGGCUUAUCAAGUUUCAAAGCCUGUUUAUGACGAGACCAGAAGCCAAGCGUGCCAGGAUCUGCUCGACCCAGCGAAGGCGAGCAGAAUCCCAAGCAUUGAAGAAUUUUCUAAGGCAUGCAAAGGCUCACAAAGUCUCAAAGCCUGUUUAUGGCGAGACUAGAAUCCAUGCGUGCCAGGAUCUGCUCGACCGCGCGAAGUUGAGCAGCAUCCCAAGUAUUGAAGAAUUAUCUAAGGCAUGCAAAGCCUCAUCAAGUUUCAAAGCAUGUUUAUGCCGAGACCAGAUGCCAAGCGUGCCAGGAUCUGCUCGACCCUGCGAAGGCGAGCAGAAUCCCAAGCAUUGAAGAAUUUUCUAAGGCAUGCAAUGGCUUAUCAAGUCUCAAAGCCUGUCUAUGGCGAGACCAGAUGCCAAGCGUGCCAGGAUCUGCUCGACAGUGCGAAGGCGAGCAGAAUCCCAAGCAUUGAAGAAUUUUCUAAGGCAUGCAAAGCCUCAUCAAGUCUCAAAGCCUGUUUAUGGCUAGACCAGAUGCCCAGCGUGCCAGAAUCAGCACGACCGCGCGAAGGCGAGCAGAAUCCCAAGCAUUGAAGAAUUUUCUAAGGCAUGCAAAGGCUCACGAAGUCUCAAAGCCUGGUUAUGGCGAGACUAAAAGCCAAGCGUGCCGGGAUCUGCUCGACCGUUCGAAGGCGAGCAGAAUCCCAAGCAUUGAAGAAUUUUCUAAGGCAUGCAAUGGCUUAUCAAGUCUCAAAGCCUGUUUAUGGCAAGACCAGAUGCCAAGGGUGCCAGAAUCUGCUCGACCGCGCGAAGGCGAGCAGAAUCCCAAGCAUUGAAGAAUUUUCUAAGGCAUGCAAAGGCUCACGAAGUCUCAAAGCCUGUUUAUGGCGAGACCAGAAGCCAUGCGUGCCAGGAUCUGCUCGACCGCGCGAAGUUGAGCAGAUCCCCAAGUAUUGAAGAAUUAUCUAAGGCAUGCAAAGGCUCAUCAAGUUUCAGAGCCUGUUUAUGGCGAGACCAGAUGCCAAACGUGCGAGGAUCUGCUCGACCGUGCAAAGGCGAGCAGAAUCCCAAGCAUUGCAGAAUUUUCUAAGGCAUGCAAUGGCUUAUCAAGUCUCAAAGCCUGUUUAUGGCAAGACCAGAUGCCAAGGGUGCCAGAAUCUACUCGACCGCGCGAAGGCGAGCAGAAUCCCAAACAUUAAAGAAUUUUCUAAGGCAUGCAAAGGCUCACAAAGUCUCAAAGCCUGUUUAUGGCGAGACCAGAAGCCAUGCGUGCCAGGAUCAACUCGACCGCGCGAAGUUGAGCAGAAUCCCAAGUAUUGAAGAAUUAUCUAAGACAUGCAAAGGCUUAUCAAGUUUCAAAGCCUGUUUAUGGCGAGACCAGAAGCCAAGCGUGCCAGGAUCUGCUCGACCCGGCGAAGGCGAGCAGAAUCCCAAGCAUUGAAGAAUUUUCUAAGGCAUGCAAUGGCUUAUCAAGUCUCAAAGCCUGUUUAUGGCGAGACCAGAUGCCAAGCGUGCCAGGAUCUGCUCGACAGUGCGAAGGCGAGCAGAAUCCCAAGCAUUGAAGAAUUUUCUAAGGCAUGCAAAGCCUCAUCAAGUCUCAAAGCCUGUUUAUGGCUAGACCAGAUGCCAAGCGUGCCAGAAUCAGCACCUCAGUGCGAAGGCGAGCAGAAUCCCAAGCAUUGAAGAAUUUUCUAAGGCAUGCAAAGGCUCACCAAGUUUCAAAGCCUGUUUAUGGCGAGACCAGAAGCCAAACGUGCCAGGAUCUGCUCGACCGCGCGAAGGCGAGCAGAAUCCCAAGCAUUGAAGAAUUUUCUAAGGCAUGCAAAAGGUCACGAAGUCUCAAAGCCUGUUUAUUGCGAGACCAGAAGCCAAGCGUGCCAGGAUCUGCUCGACCGCGCGAAGGCGAGCAGAAUCCCAAGUAUUGAAGAAUUUUCUAAGGCAUGCAAUGGCUGAUCAAGUCUCAAAGCCUGUUUAUGGCGAGACCAGAUGCCAAGCGUGCCAGGAUCUGCUCGACAGUGCGAAGGCGAGCAGAAUCCCAAGCAUUGAAGAAUUUUCUAAGGCAUGCAAAGGCUCAUCAAGUCUCAAAGCCUGUUUAUGGCGAGACCAGAAGCCAAGCGUGCCAGAAUCUGCUCGACCGCGCGAAGGCGAGCAGAAUCCCAAGCAUUGAAGAAUUUUCUACGUCAUGCAAAGGCUCACAAAGUCUCAAAGCCUGUUUAUGGCGAGACCAGAAGCCAAGCGUGCCAGGAU